UACGUAGGGCGCAAGCGUUGUCCGGAAUUAUUGGGCGUAAAGAGCUCGUAGGCGGCUUGUCACGUCGGGUGUGAAAGCCCGGGGCUUAACCCCGGGUCUGCAUUCGAUACGGGCUGGCUAGAGUGUGGUAGGGGAGAUCGGAAUUCCUGGUGUAGCGGUGAAAUGCGUAGAUAUCUGGAGGAACACCGGUGGCGAAGGCGGCAUCCUGGACCAAUAUUGACGCUGAGGAGCGAAAGCCAGGGGAGCAAACGGG
rnacentral:rRNA from 1 species